rnacentral:rRNA from 1 species
CCCUUAGAUGUUCUGGGCCGCACGCGCGCUACACUGAUGCAUUCAACGAGUUUCUUCCUGGUCCGAGAGGAAUGGGUAACCUUUUGAAAGUGCAUCGUGAUAGGGAUAGACUAUUGCAAUUAUUGGUCUUCAACGAGGAAUUCCUAGUAGACGUAGUUCAUCAGACUGCAUCGAUUACGUCCCUGCCCUUUGUACACACCGCCCGUCGCUCCUACCGAUUGAAUGCUCAGGUGAGCCAUUCGGACUUUCAUAAUGCUGGUUUCCAGUUUUGAUGAAGGAAAGUCUUGCGAACCUUAUCAUUUAGAGGAAGGAGAAGUCGUAACA